rnacentral:rRNA from 1 species
AGCGAACGCUGGCGGCAGGCCUAACACAUGCAAGUCGAACGAACCUUUCGGGGUUAGUUGCGGACGGGUGAGGAACACGUGGGAACGUGCCUUUAGGUUCGGAAUAACUCAGUGAAACGUGUGCUAAUACCGAAUGUGCCCUUCUGGGGAAAGAUUUAUCUCCUGUAGAGCGGCCCGCGUCGGUUUAGCUAGUUGGUUGAGGUAAUGGCGCACCAAGGCGAGGAUCAGUAGCUGGUCUGAGAGGAUGAGCAGACACAUUGGGACUGGGACACGGCCCGAAAUCCUGCGGGAGGGGGGAAAGGGGAAUCUUGCGCUAUGGGCGAAAGCCUGACGCAGCCAUGGCGGGUGAAUGAUGAAGGUCUUAGGAAUGUAAAAUUCUUUCACCGGGGACGGUAAUGACGGUACCCGGAGAAGAAGCCCCGGCUAACUUCGUG